rnacentral:rRNA from 1 species
GACGAACGCNGGCGGCGUGCUUAACACAUGCAAGUCGAACGAAGAGCGAUGGAAGCUUGCUUCUAUCAAUCUUAGUGGCGAACGGGUGAGUAACGCGUAAUCAACCUGCCCUUCAGAGGGGGACAACAGUUGGAAACGACUGCUAAUACCGCAUACGAUCUAAUCUCGGCAUCGAGGAAAGAUGAAAGGUGGCCUCUAUUUAUAAGCUAUCACUGAAGGAGGGGAUUGCGUCUGAUUAGCUAGUUGGAGGGGUAACGGCCCACCAAGGCGAUGAUCAGUAGCCGGUCUGAGAGGAUGAACGGCCACAUUGGGACUGAGACACGGCCCAGACUCCUACGGGAGGCAGCAGUGGGGAAUCUUCCGCAAUGGACGAAAGUCUGACGGAGCAACGCCGCGUGAGUGAUGACGGCCUUCGGGUUGUAAAGCUCUGUUAAUCGGGACGAAAGGCCUUCUUGCGAACAGUNAGAAGGAUGACGNACC